UACGGGGGGGGCAAGCGUUGUUCGGAAUUACUGGGCGUAAAGGGCUCGUAGGUGGCCAACUUAAGUCAGACGUGAAAUCCCUCAGCUUAACUGGGGAACUGCGUCUGAUACUGGAUGGCUUGAGUUUGGGAGAGGGAGUGCGGAAUUCCAGGUGUAGCGGUGAAAAUGCGUAGAUAUCUGGAGGAACACCGGUGGCGAAGGCGGCGUUCUGGACUGCAACUACACUGAUAAACGAAAGCCAGGUAGCAAACGGG
rnacentral:rRNA from 1 species